rnacentral:rRNA from 1 species
AUAACGACUCUCGGCAACGGAUAUCUCGGCUCUCGCAUCGAUGAAGAACGUAGCGAACUGCGAUACUUGGUGUGAAUUGCAGAAUCCCGUGAACCAUCGAGUCUUUGAACGCAAGUUGCGCCCGAAGCCAUUUGGCCGAGGGCACGUUUGCCUGGGUGUCACAC